ACGCUUUCAUCAUAAACUAAGUAAGUAAAAAAAUGCGUUCAGUUCAGCAUCCACCGUCGUCCUCCCAUGGCACUGAUAGAGACUCAAAACACAACCACUCUCUCUCUCUCUCUAAAACCACCCAGACUUCAACCCCGCAGAAUACUCCGAAUCGAUAAAGGAGAUCUACAAGGGUUGGAAUUGAAUUGGGACUAACAAAUUCGACUCUAUUGAUAUCGUUAAGCGGUGGUGGAAGGAAGCCCCGUCACUGUGGUCUCCCGCGGUUUGAUCCUCUUCGGUUUCUCAAAAGCUUCAGAGACACUACUAUCGGUUUGAACACUAGUAUUGAGUUUAUACAUGAUUAACAGUGCUGGGUUUGAAGUUGAUAGGAAUAUGUUUGGCGUCCUGUCGGAGCGGACUGUGGAUUUACAUUUCUUGAGUAUAACCUUACUAUGGUAUAUCGUCCGACAAUUCUUUUGGUGCCAUAUGGUAGGUGGUCAGCCAACAGUAAUGGUGAUGUGCUGAAGUCUUUUGGGUAUAAAGAGGGUUACAGAGUUGAUGUUAAUAUUCCAGAAGGAAAAUGGGCACAAGCUAUUAGUAUCCAAGAUAUCCUCAUCUUCAACACGGGACACUAUCACGUUGGUGGUGCGCUCCUUCGAAGUUUGACCUUGUAAAAACACCCUUUUUUUUU